UUACAAGUUGUCUAGUGUUUAUAUACAUUCAAUGCACCUACAAGCUGGAAGCCAAAGUGUUUCCCUUUAUCUAAUCUUUAUCUAGAGUCAGGGGUCUAAACAAUUACUGCAGAGCCUUGGAAAAAGUAGUUAAUUUAGAGGUGUGCAAGAAUCAUCUCAGUUAUUUUAAUUAAACUCUCUAACGCCUGAGAAAGUCCAGGAGGGCUCUUAUGGACUUGGUUUUAUAUUCUACCUUUUUACUGAGGCACCAGUUUCUCCAGUUCUUUAAUGUUUAACUUAAAUAUUUCUUGGGAGGCUGAGGCGGGUGGAUCACCAAGUCAAGAGAUCGAGACCAUCCUGGUCAACAUGGUGAAACCCCGUCCCUACUAAAAAUACAAAAAAUUAGCUGGCAUGGUGGCACGUGCCUGUAAUCCCAGCUACUCAGGAGGCUGAGGCAGGAGAAUUGCCUGAACCCAGGAGGCAGAGGUUGUGGUGAGCCAAGAUCGCACCAUUGCAUGGGUAACAAGAGCGAAACUCCGUCUCAAAAAAAAAAAAUUUUUUUUUUCAUCAGAGUUAUAGUAAAGUGUUGGUGAAAGCUGAUUGCUCUGUUUGCUAAUGGAGACAUGGUCUGCCACAUGUUUUGGUCAAAAACGGAUGUUUUAGUCAAAAAUCGACUGUAUAUACAUGGUGGUCCCUUAAGAUUAAAAUGAGGCUGAAAAAUUCCUAUGGCAUGGUGACAUUGUAGCCAUCAUACCUUAGUAGUGCAAUGCAUUACUUAUGUGUUUGUGGUGACGCUGGUAUAAGCAAACCUCCUGAGCUGCCAGUCAUAUAAAAAUAUCACACAUGUAAUUAUGUAUGGCACAUAAAAUGGGAUAAUGAAAAUAACUCUUGUGUUAUUCGUUUCUGUGUUUUGUCAUUAUUAUAGACUGUACUCCUUCUCCUAUUAAAAUAAUUGUUAAUUGUACAGUAGCCUCAGGCAAGUACUUCAGAAGGUCCUGCAAAAGUUAUUGUUGUUGUUAUAGGAGAUGAUGCACUUACCCCAGUCAUUGUGAAAUACGACUGCAUUUGUGUUGACCUAUCAGUUUAUGGCCCCAGUGGCUUCAGCCCCAGAGUUUCGCACUUGUUACCCAGGCUGGAGUGCAAUGGCGCGAUCUCGGCUCAGGCAACCUCCGCCUCCUGGGUUCAGGUAAUUCUCCUGCCUCAGCCUCCUGAGUAGCUGGGAUUACAGGGACGCGCCACCGUGCCCAGCUAAUUUUUUGUAUAUUUUUUAGUAGAGACGGGGUUUCACCAUGUUGACCAGGAUGGUCUCGAUCUCCUGACCUCGUGUUCCACCCGCCUCGACCUCCCAAAGUGUUGGGAUUACAGGCUUGAGCCACCACGC
rnacentral:lncRNA from 1 species